AUGAUAUAUUCUCAUGAAUUUGAAAAAUGGAAAAAAUUAAAAUUUGUUGAUGAUUAUUUUGUUUUUUUCUAUGUAUUAAAUUUUUUUUUUGUAGUUGGUAAAUUCAUGCACAAGGUAAAGAUCGCCGUUGGUUUGGUCAUUAUAGAUUUUAUUUCAAGAUACAUUUUGCAUAGACACGUUGAACAUUUCUUUUUCUGUCUCAAAUCUGAAAAAAUUAAACUUCUCAAACACUUUUCAAUCAAAAAUUUCCUUAGUUCAUGCAUGUUCUAA